GGAGGGGAGGGGACCCUGGCCCUCCCACAGGACCCGACCUCGGGACUGGCUCUCGGGACCGGCAGAGGGGCCCUCUGGAUCUGUCGGAGCCCUGGAGCCCGUGUCCUUUCCCAGGGUCCCUUGCCAGAGCGGCCAUGGGAGAAGGCCAAGUCGUCGUCCCACUCCCCCAGCUCCCAGGCCCUGUGCCUUACACUGAGCCCGCCUUCAGUAGCUGCAGAGCCCCACUGGCACGCGCUGUCACCUGGGUAUGUCUUCCCAGGCGCCCAGUUACCAGGGCAGUGCAGCCAGGACUGCCUCCCUCGGGCUGGUGGUGGGUGUACACCACACUUUGACCGCCCCUCAGUUUCCAGCUUGUCUACUCGAUUGCUGGCUGGGGUGAAAGCCAUGGCUGUGAACACAUGCAAAGCAGGCUUCGGCCCACAGCGCCCACCCUCACCGGAACCACCGCGAGGCUGUCGCCAGGACGUUUGCUACAGGAAGUACCCCAGGGAGCGACGGUGCAGGGGCCUCAGGCAGGCGGCCUCCUCUCCGUGCACUCCCAGAGGGCUUGGAGGCCACCUGAGCCCGAACCUGUGCCCUCACCGACGGACACGUGUGCCAAGAUGCCAGCUGCAGGGCAGGACGUGCAGAGGGCCAUGGGGCCCACGGGAGUGGCUGAGACACAGAGUGAGCACGACUGAGGGAUGGGCGCCAGGAGCAGACCCCGCAGCCCAGCCGUCCAGCUGCUCAAAAAUGAGCCCGAAACCAAGACCCCUGUGAAGACUGCAGUUGAGGCUGACGCGGAGAUGGAAACCUGGCUUAUGUAAACGUUGCAUGAAGACACGUAAUUCUUGUAUUCCCCCGUGUGGACUCCAUCCGCCCCAUUUACUUCACUGCUAAUAAAUUCCAUGUGUAUUUUCCUCUUUUUAAAAAAAUUGCCAGAGAGCAAAUGUGUUCACCAGAAAAAGACAGA